rnacentral:rRNA from 1 species
UACGGAGGGGGCUAGCGUUGUUCGGAAUUACUGGGCGUAAAGCGCGCGUAGGCGGACCUGCAAGUCGGGGGUGAAAGCCCGAGGCUCAACCUCGGAACUGCCUUCGAUACUGCGGGUCUCGAGUCCGGGAGAGGUGAGUGGAAUUCCUAGUGUAGAGGUGAAAUUCGUAGAUAUGGGGAGGAACACCGGUGGCGAAGGCGACCAUCUGGACGGAUAUUGACGCUGAGACGCGAAAGCGUGGGUAGCAAACAGG